CUCGUCGCCAUAUAAGUGCAGUUUUAGCAGGAGUCUACACCAGUUUCUUUCUCUUUUCCUCACGUCAUCAACCAGCAGGACUGUUUUUCCUGCGUACAACUGGGCUGCCUCUAGCCUAACUCAGAUCUUCCGGCCAUCAGAAGGAAACAAGUUUCGAUUGGAUCCGCUGAUCUUAGUAGAGGCAGAUGUGUUUUGGGCUUAAGAUCUAUAGGAAUUCUUGUUUCAUGAUUGACGUGCCGGCAAGCUUCUAUACGAACUUGGUCCAUCGUACAUCCGUGAGGCUAAAUAUACAUGUACAAAAAUUUCAGUAACAUGAAGUCAGAACAAUUUUU